UACGGAGGGUGCAAGCGUUAAUCGGAAUUACUGGGCGUAAAGGGUGCGUAGGCGGUUGUUUAAGUCUGUCGUGAAAUCCCCGGGCUUAACCUGGGAAUUGCGUUGGAGACUGCAAGGCUGGAGUCUGGCAGAGGGGGGUAGAAUUCCACGUGUAGCAGUGAAAUGCGUAGAGAUGUGGAGGAACACCGAUGGCGAAGGCAGCCCCCUGGGUCAAGACUGACGCUCAUGCACGAAAGCGUGGGGAGCAAACAGG
rnacentral:rRNA from 1 species